rnacentral:rRNA from 1 species
GACGAACCGUCCAAACGUUAUUCGGAAUUACUGGGCGUAAAGCGCGCGUAGGCGGCUUUUCAAGUCGGGCGUGAAAGCCCCGGGCUUAACCCGGGAAUGGACGCUCGAUACUGUUGAGCUAGAGUGUGGAAGGGGCUACUGGAAUUCCGUGUGUAGCGGUGAAAUGCGCAGAUAUCAGGAGGAACACCAAUUGCGAAGGCAGCUCGCUGGGACGUUACUGACGCUGAGACGCGAAAGCGUGGGGAGCAAACAGG